rnacentral:lncRNA from 1 species
AAGACCAGUAAUUUGACUUUUUUUUUUCAAAAUUUUGCAACAACUUGCUAGUCCAAAUGAAAUUUUACUUGUCUGGGGCAAAGGAAUAGUGACAAACCGUGCAGACUGUAUUUAUACUAAAGAGGAAGAAUGUAGAGUUCCUGCUACACUUGUAAAAAUUCCAACAAUGGUCUAUAAACAGGAUGAUGAAAUCAUGGUUUCAACAAUAAAAUAUUUGGAGUCUGAAAUAAUAUAUUGAGUUCAGUCUUAUUUUGUGUGUGAAAAUAUUACAUUGGCAGGUCUUGUUUGUUUGACCUCAUUUCUAUGGUUCAUUGGUCAAUGUGAUGGAUUUUGUAUGCUGUAGAGGAGGGAGCAUUUAAUUUUACCUUGGUAUGUACAAACUUCCCAAAAUUGGUUUCUAAUCUCACUUUAGUUUACCCUCACCAAAUGGAAAAGGAAUUCUAACAUAUA